CACCGUGCCACUUCCCACAUCUGUUGGUGUCGUGAUUGUCCUCCACCCGCGCUCCCCUCCCUCUUCCCCACGCCGUCGCUCCUCCCCACCCCGGCGCUGCUCCCCUCCCUUCCCCUCCAUGGCGCCCCUCCUCUCUCCUCCCCGGUUCCCCUCCCCUCCCCGGCGUUGUUCCCAGUCCCCUCCCCUUCCCCGCAGCUGCUCGCCUCCCAGGGCGCCCAUACCCUCCCCCAGCGCGGCGAGCGGCGACGCUGCUGCGCGAGGCCGCGGUCUGUGCGGCGCGAGGAGAGGCGACACGAUGGCGUCCAAGGUCCACUCCUUCCCCAAGCCGCCACCGACGUCCGCCCGCACCAACGCCGCGCACCACCUCCGCCGCCGUCUCCGCGGCCUCUUUUGCCAGAACCCUAACCUCGCCUCGGCCACGAUGGACAAAUCCGGCUCGGCCCCCAUCUUCCCGAAUGUGCGCACCCCCAAGGGCGCCUUCAGGGACUUUCGGGACCGCCGUGCUGGCAUCGUCAAGGCUCUCACCACCGGUGCCAUCAUUAAGAUUGCAGAGGAGCGCUUGGAGGAUAGUUGGGUCCCUUUGGACGAAACAGUGGCUACUGAAGAACUUGAGGAGAUGAUCCACUCUAAAGAGGUGCACACAAAUGCAGUAAUCCUUGAGAGCUGAUCUUGUUGAUCUAAUGGAUGAAUAAUUUAAAGGUUUACAAAGAGCUUAUAUGUGUUCAGGAACAACACUUGAUGCUGGAUAGCCAAAGCACAAGUUAUAUAUCAUGAAUUACAAAUAAGAAAAGGUGAUGUACUCCAUCGCUAUCUACGUAUGAUUUUGAUUUAGCAGUAAAAACUUAAAAAUAGUUCCUAGACUUAAGUGGCCAUACAGUGAUAUAAUUGUUUCUUGAUCCAAAUAUAGUUUAUUUAGUCCUUGGUGAUAUACUUCCUAGCUACCUAUUGUUAGAGUAGAAGAGUGUGUGUCUAGAGUCUUCUCUUGUAGUGUGUAUAUAUAUAUAUCCCAUGGGGCUAGUCAAUACAUUGAACAUGUCGUACAUUGAACAUCCAUAUAUUCUCACAUGGUAACAGAGCUUCGGUUCCUUUGAUCCGGCCGUCUCUCUCGAUCUUCCGCUGCGCUGCCCCUGGGAGCGUCAAUCUUGCUCCUGGGGGCGGCUAAUCCAGCCCCAAACCUUUUUUUUCCUUACCCUCAUGUCGCAGCAGCAGCAACAAGAUUCGUCGCCCCACCCGCCGGCCGCCGUCACGGCCGCCUCAGAUCCGCCCAUCGCGGAUCCGUCGUCGCUCCACCGUCCGUCCGCCGGCGCAGCAGCGCUGCCCGUCCGUCCGCCGGCUCUCCUCCGCGCCGUUCGAGAGUCUUCUUCGUUCUCCACUGUAGCUCACCGAGAAUCACUUCCGCUGCUGCCUCCGGGAGGAGCAAUCUCCACUCCCGGGGGCGGUCACCUCUUAGCUGUAGGUAGUGGUAGCCGUAGCAGCAGCAGCGCCGCCGUCCUCCUCCAGUGUGUCGCCCGUCGCCACCAGUCCGUCGUCGCCAUCUCUUCCGCCGCCGUCGUGGCCAUCGUCCUGCUCGUCGUCGCAUCAGCCCGCCGUUGUGGCUCACAUUGCCGCGGCCCUCCUCCUCGGCCGCCGUCCCCGCACCUCUUCCUUGGCCGCCGUUCCUGUGGCCCGACGUUGUCGAUUCGCAGUCGCCCGUCAUGGAUCUGCCCGUCGCGGGUCCACCGGCCGCCUAUCGUCGUCACCGUCGCAGCUCUCCAUCCGCGACCCAUCGCUGCCGCUGGCUGCUUGUACCCGCCGCCGCUCGUCGUCAUCCGUUUGCAGCGGCCCGCCAUCCCAUCGCCGCCCUGCCUGCUCUGCCGUCCCGUUGGCGCGGCCCGUCAUCGCCCCACCGGCUCCGCUCCGUCCAUGUGGUGCGGCCUCCACCCGUCGGCCCGUCGCUGGCGCAGUCGAUUCGUCCGUCGCGGAGCCAUUGUCCCCGCCCGUUCUGCUGGUGCAGCCCCCACUUCUCCCGCCCUUCCACGGUCGCCGGCGCGUCUCUCUGCUCUCUGUCUUGCUGCUUUCAGCUUGUGCUACUGCUAGUAUCUGCCAUAUAUCAGAGUCUUUUGUCUCAUGUCCAGCUAGCACCUCAGUCAUAUUCAUCAGCGUCGAUCCAAGUCCAGAUCCACUUCAUCUAGUUCGCCAAUGCCGUGCGUGUCUACAAAUUUCAGUUGUCAAAUCAGCCAUUUCUUUUUCUCUAUUGGGUUUGCCGCGUUGUGUGGCUGCCCCAUCAUCAUCAUCAUCUUCUUCUUCGUCGUGUUGAUGCAUCUUUACCACUUGGCCCUUUUUCGUAGCCUUUUUUGCUACACAUCAUCACCAAAUGGUCUUCUUAGUCAUCAUCACGAUAGUAUCACGGCUUUGCCUUCUUGCAGCUGUGGUUUUAUCUUUAUUCUUCUUUGGCUUGGUUUGACACAUUGUUAUUAUCGUCGACUUCAUAUAUCGACAUUGGCUGCAUGCUUUGGCGACAUCUUCAAGCUUGGACUUUGGAUAUAUGUUAUCUAGUUAAUGUAUAAGUGUCAUCUGGUUUGAUAUGUUAGUGUCCUUUAAGUGUUGUAAUUGUACUUUCAAACUCAAUGCUUGUAAUCCACCUUGAGUUUGAGGGGGGUGUUAGAGUAGAAGAGUGUGUCUAGAGUUUUCUCUUGUAGUAUAUAUAUAUCCCAUGGGGCUAGUCAAUACAUUGAACAUGUCGUACAUUGAACAUCCAUCUAUUCUCACAUCUAUAUGUACAUUGAAAUGAUCAAUGUUAUUCUAUGCAGGUUGAAAUGAUCAGUGCUUGAAUUCAUAUAUUUUUAUGGCAACAAUGGAUCAUGAAUGGAUUACAAAAAAUUACUAAAUCGCAUACAGGGCCCCUUUGGCCGGUCUCCAAACGGCCCUGAGCCUCCGGCGGCUCCUUGUGGUUUCGUGAGGGGGGGGGGGGGGGGGGGCGUGGACAGAGAGAGAAGACUCUAGUGAAAAGCUAGCUGUGCUACAAUAGCAUUGUUAGGUGGAGCUGAACCCCAUUGGAGCCAUGCCAAAGGCACCCAUAGCAUGUCUAAUAGUACAGACAUCCUUUUCAAAAAUAUAGUAUAGAGACAUCAUGUACCCUCCAUUGCUAUAUAUGUACAUUUUCUCUCUAGAAUCAUGUCAUUAUAUGGACACGUCAUGUGAUGAAUAAUAUUAUUGUUUCCUCCCACAAUCAAUACAACUUCCAACGAUUAUUCAAA